rnacentral:rRNA from 1 species
CGGGACACGUGGUAUCCUGUCUGAAUAUGGGGGGACCAUCCUCCAAGGCUAAAUACUCCUGACUGACCGAUAGUGAACCAGUACCGUGAGGGAAAGGCGAAAAGAACCCCGGCGAGGGGAGUGAAAAAGAACCUGAAACCGUGUACGUACAAGCAGUGGGAGCACGCUUAGGCGUGUGACUGCGUACCUUUUGUAUAAUGGGUCAGCGACUUAUAUUCUGUAGCAAGGUUAACCGAAUAGGGGAGCCGAAGGGAAACCGAGUCUUAACUGGGCGUUAAGUUGCAGGGUAUAGACCCGAAACCCGGUGAUCUAGCCAUGGGCAGGUUGAAGGUUGGGUAACACUAACUGGAGGACCGAACCGACUAAUGUUGAAAAAUUAGCGGAUGACUUGUGGCUGGGGGUGAAAGGCCAAUCAAACCGGGAGAUAGCUGGUUCUCCCCGAAAGCUAUUUAGGUAGCGCCUCGUGAAUUCAUCUCCGGGGGUAGAGCACUGUUUCGGCAAGGGGGUCAUCCCGACUUACCAACCCGAUGCAAACUGCGAAUACCGGAGAAUGUUAUCACGGGAGACACACGGCGGGUGCUAACGUCCGUCGUGAAGAGGGAAACAACCCAGACCGCCAGCUAAGGUCCCAAAGUCAUGGUUAAGUGGGAAACGAUGUGGGAAGGCCCAGACAGCCAGGAUGUUGGCUUAGAAGCAGCCAUCAUUUAAAGAAAGCGUAAUAGCUCACUGGUCGAGUCGGCCUGCGCGGAAGAUGUAACGGGGCUAAACCAUGCACCGAAGCUGCGGCAGCGACGCUGAUGCGUUGUUGGGUAGGGGAGCGUUCUGUAAGCCUGUGAAGGUGUGCUGUGAGGCAUGCUGGAGGUAUCAGAAGUGCGAAUGCUGACAUAAGUAACGAUAAAGCGGGUGAAAAGCCCGCUCGCCGGAAGACCAAGGGUUCCUGUCCAACGUUAAUCGGGGCAGGGUGAGUCGACCCCUAAGGCGAGGCCGAAAGGCGUAGUCGAUGGGAAACAGGUUAAUAUUCCUGUACUUGGUGUUACUGCGAAGGGGGGACGGAGAAGGCUAUGUUGGCCGGGCGACGGUUGUCCCGGUUUAAGCGUGUAGGCUGGUUUUCCAGGCAAAUCCGGAAAAUCAAGGCUGAGGCGUGAUGACGAGGCACUACGGUGCUGAAGCAACAAAUGCCCUGCUUCCAGGAAAAGCCUCUAAGCAUCAGGUAACAUCAAAUCGUACCCCAAACCGACACAGGUGGUCAGGUAGAGAAUACCAAGGCGCUUGAGAGAACUCGGGUGAAGGAACUAGGCAAAAUGGUGCCGUAACUUCGGGAGAAGGCACGCUGAUAUGUAGGUGAAGCGACUUGCUCGUGGAGCUGAAAUCAGUCGAAGAUACCAGCUGGCUGCAACUGUUUAUUAAAAACACAGCACUGUGCAAACACGAAAGUGGACGUAUACGGUGUGACGCCUGCCCGGUGCCGGAAGGUUAAUUGAUGGGGUCAGCGCAAGCGAAGCUCUUGAUCGAAGCCCCGGUAAACGGCGGCCGUAACUAUAACGGUCCUAAGGUAGCGAAAUUCCUUGUCGGGUAAGUUCCGACCUGCACGAAUGGCGUAAUGAUGGCCAGGCUGUCUCCACCCGAGACUCAGUGAAAUUGAACUCGCUGUGAAGAUGCAGUGUACCCGCGGCAAGACGGAAAGACCCCGUGAACCUUUACUAUAGCUUGACACUGAACAUUGAGCCUUGAUGUGUAGGAUAGGUGGGAGGCUUUGAAGUGUGGACGCCAGUCUGCAUGGAGCCGGCCUUGAAAUACCACCCUUUAAUGUUUGAUGUUCUAACGUUGACCCGUGAUCCGGGUUGCGGACAGUGUCUGGUGGGUAGUUUGACUGGGGCGGUCUCCUCCUAAAGAGUAACGGAGGAGCACGAAGGUUGGCUAAUCCUGGUCGGACAUCAGGAGGUUAGUGCAAUGGCAUAAGCCAGCUUGACUGCGAGCGUGACGGCGCGAGCAGGUGCGAAAGCAGGUCAUAGUGAUCCGGUGGUUCUGAAUGGAAGGGCCAUCGCUCAACGGAUAAAAGGUACUCCGGGGAUAACAGGCUGAUACCGCCCAAGAGUUCAUAUCGACGGCGGUGUUUGGCACCUCGAUGUCGGCUCAUCACAUCCUGGGGCUGAAGUAGGUCCCAAGGGUAUGGCUGUUCGCCAUUUAAAGUGGUACGCGAGCUGGGUUUAGAACGUCGUGAGACAGUUCGGUCCCUAUCUGCCGUGGGCGCUGGAGAACUGAGGGGGGCUGCUCCUAGUACG